rnacentral:rRNA from 1 species
GACGAACGCUGGCGGCGUGCUUAACACAUGCAAGUCGAACGGUGAAGCGCCUUCCUUUUUGGUGGGUGUGGAUGAGUGGCGAACGGGUGAGUAACACGUGAGUAACCUGCCCCCUUCUUCUGGAUAACCGCAUGAAAGUGUGGCUAAUACGGGAUAUUCUGGGUCUGUCGCAUGAUGGGUCUGGGAAAGAUAUUGUUUCGGUGGGGGAUGGGCUCGCGGCCUAUCAGCUUGUUGGUGGGGUGAUGGCCUACCAAGGCGGUGACGGGUAGCCGGCCUGGGAGGGUGGACGGUCACACUGGGGCUGAGACACGGCCCAGACUCCUACGGGAGGCAGCAGUGGGGAAUAUGGCACAAUGGGCGAAAGCCUGAUGCAGCGACGCCGCGUGAGGGAUGGAGGCCUGCGGGUUGUGAACCUCUUUCGCCAGUGAAGCAGGCCUGCCUCGUUUGUGGGUGGGUUGACGGUAGCUGGAUAAGAAGCGCCGGCUAACUACGUG